UACGUAGGGUGCGAGCGUUAAUCGGAAUUACUGGGCGUAAAGCGUGCGUAGGCGGGUCGUCAGUCGGCGGUGAAAGCCCACGGCUCAACCGUGGCAGGGCCGCCGAGACGGUCGGCCUGGAGGGAGGUAGGGGCACGCGGAACUUCCGGUGGAGCGGUGAAAUGCGUAGAGAUCGGAAGGAACGCCGGUGGCGAAAGCGGCGUGCUGACCUCUGCUGACGCUGAGGUGCGAAAGCGUGGGGAGCAAACAGGGAUUAAGAA
rnacentral:rRNA from 1 species